rnacentral:rRNA from 1 species
CUACGGGGGGCUGCAGUGGGGGAUAUUGCACAAUGGGGGAAACCCUGAUGCAGCAACGCCGCGUGAGGGAUGAAGGUUUUCGGAUUGUAAACCUCUGUCCUUAGGGAAGAAAAAAAUGACGGUACCUAAGGAGGAAGCUCCGGCUAACUACGUGCCAGCAGCCGCGGUAAUACGUAGGGAGCGAGCGUUGUCCGGAAUUAUUGGGUGUAAAGGGUGCGUAGGCGGCUAUGUAAGUCAGGCGUGUAAUUCAGAGGCUUAACCUCUUGAUUGCGCUUGAAACUGUGUGGCUUGAGUGGAGUAGAGGCAGAUGGAAUUUCCAGUGUAGCGGUGAAAUGCGUAGAUAUUGGAAGGAACAUCGGUGGCGAAGGCGAUCUGCUGGGCUCUAACUGACGCUGAGGCACGAAAGCAUGGGGAGCAAACAGGAUUAGAUACCCCGGUAGUC